ACGCUGGCGGCAUGCCUUACACAUGCAAGUCGAACGGCAGCACGGAGCUUGCUCUGGUGGCGAGUGGCGAACGGGUGAGUAAUAUAUCGGAACGUACCCUGGAGUGGGGGAUAACGUAGCGAAAGUUACGCUAAUACCGCAUACGAUCUAAGGAUGAAAGUGGGGGAUCGCAAGACCUCAUGCUCGUGGAGCGGCCGAUAUCUGAUUAGCUAGUUGGUAGGGUAAAAGCCUACCAAGGCAUCGAUCAGUAGCUGGUCUGAGAGGACGACCAGCCACACUGGAACUGAGACACGGUCCAGACUCCUACGGGAGGCAGCAGUGGGGAAUUUUGGACAAUGGGCGCAAGCCUGAUCCAGCAAUGCCGCGUGAGUGAAGAAGGCCUUCGGGUUGUAAAGCUCUUUUGUCAGGGAAGAAACGGUGAGGGCUAAUAUCUUUUGCUAAUGACGGUACCUGAAGAAUAAGCACCGGCUAACUACGUGCCAGCAGCCGCGGUAAUACGUAGGGUGCAAGCGUUAAUCGGAAUUACUGGGCGUAAAGCGUGCGCAGGCGGUUUUGUAAGUCUGAUGUGAAAUCCCCGGGCUCAACCUGGGAAUUGCAUUGGAGACUGCAAGGCUAGAAUCUGGCAGAGGGGGGUAGAAUUCCACGUGUAGCAGUGAAAUGCGUAGAUAUGUGGAGGAACACCGAUGGCGAAGGCAGCCCCCUGGGUCAAGAUUGACGCUCAUGCACGAAAGCGUGGGGAGCAAAC
rnacentral:rRNA from 1 species